CAAGUCGAGCGGCAGCGCGGGGCAACCUGGCGGCGAGCGGCGAACGGGUGAGUAAUGCAUCGGAACAUGUCCAUGUCGUGGGGGAUAGCCCGGCGAAAGCCGGAUUAAUACCGCAUACGCCCGAGAGGGGAAAGUGGGGGACCGCAAGGCCUCACGCGAUUGGGUUGGCCGAUGUCCGAUUAGCUAGUUGGCGGGGUAAAGGCCCACCAAGGCGAUGAUCGGUAGCUGGUCUGAGAGGAUGAUCAGCCACACUGGGACUGAGACACGGCCCAGACUCCUACGGGAGGCAGCAGUGGGGAAUUUUGGACAAUGGGGGCAACCCUGAUCCAGCCAUUCCGCGUGAGUGAAGAAGGCCUUCGGGUUGUAAAGCUCUUUUGUCCGGAACGAAACGGUGAACGUGAAUAUCGUUCGCUACUGACGGUACCGGAAGAAUAAGCACCGGCUAACUACGUGCCAGCAGCCGCGGUAAUACGUAGGGUGCGAGCGUUAAUCGGAAUUACUGGGCGUAAAGCGUGCGCAGGCGGUUUUGUAAGCCAGAUGUGAAAUCCCCGGGCUUAACCUGGGAAUGGCAUUUGGGACUGCAAGGCUGGAGUGCGGCAGAGGAGACUGGAAUUCCUGGUGUAGCAGUGAAAUGCGUAGAUAUCAGGAGGAACACCGAUGGCGAAGGCAGGUCUCUGGGCUGACACUGACGCUCAUGCACGAAAGCGUGGGGAGCAAAACAGGAUUAGAUACCCUGGUAGUCCACGCCCUAAACGAUGUCGACUGGUUGUUGGGGGGUUUGACACUCUCAGUAACGAAGCUAACGCGUG
rnacentral:rRNA from 1 species